rnacentral:rRNA from 1 species
UACGGAGGGUGCGAGCGUUGUCCGGAAUUAUUGGGCGUAAAGCGCGUGUAGGCGGCCAGAUAAGUCCGCUGUGAAAUCUCGAGGCUCAACUUCGAGCUGUCGGUGGAAACUGUCUGGCUAGAGUCCGGAAGAGGAGAAUGGAAUUCCUGGUGUAGCGGUGAAAUGCGCAGAUAUCAGGAAGAACACCCGUGGCGAAGGCGGUUCUCUGGGACGGUACUGACGCUGAGACGCGAAAGCGUGGGGAGCGAACAGG